GGAUCCAGAGUUUCACGGCGCCCCCUGCCGGACACUGGGGGCGGGAAGGGGGAAGUGAAAAGGGAGACCUGGAUGACGCGUCUGCGGCCCCCAAGUGGUAGAGAAUGAAAGUUUGAGCACGACUGUAGGGAAAGGAAUCAAACCUCCCAGGCCAGCCUCAAGGAAUCCUGAUCUGGGCUACCCUAUCUGUGCUUCUGGGGAGGUGGGCCCAGAACCAUUGUGUGAAUAACGAUUGACCUCAGCUAGUGGUUCUCAUGGAGUGACUGAUUUUGCCUCCCAGAGGACAUCAGCAAUGUCUGGAGACAUUUCCAGUUGUCACUACUUGAGAGGAAGCACGAUCUGCCUCUAGAAGGGAGAGACCAGGGAUGCUGCUGCUCAAUAUCCUAUAAUGCGCAGAACAGCUUCUACGACAAAUAGAGUUAUCCCACCAAAAAAGUCAGUAGUGCCAAGGUUGAGAGAACCUGCUCUAGGGUAAUCAGCGUGGUCCUAAUCUCCCUGUCAGUGACUGAUUCAACUCACAUAAUAAUCUUAUGGGAGUGUGAUGUAAUUCUAGCC
rnacentral:lncRNA from 1 species